AUGUGUACCACAGUCCGCCAAAGCCACAUCGUGAAAAAUAACCUACAUCCACUAUCAACUCUCCGUCUCCAUCAGGGAAUCAUUCUCACUUCAGUUCACCGUAUCACUUUUAUAUGCUCCAUCUCACAUCUCCACUGCUACAUCUUCUUCUUUGCGGCUACAUUUUCUCACGAAUCAACACCUCAACGCUUCAUUCGAUCUGUUUCAAUUCUGACACAUUAA